ensembl:lncRNA
GGUGAGAAAGAGGCGAUGGUACGCAUCAAUUUGUAGUCUUCAGUUGGCACCCCUGUUUUUGUUUUUGGCCCGCAACGAGCAGAAAGAGGUCCGUCUGCGUUAUUGUUAUUAUCGGUGCCCGUUGCAAUAUGAGCCAGCACGAGCUUCUGUUGACAGACGGCCGGGCUCCGAGGCGUGCGUGUCGGCGUGCAACAUAAAACGACGAAACGGAGGCAGAGAAAGGACGAGAGAGUGAGAGUGAGAGCACACAUCGCGGGAUAUCAUAGGUUUUGGUAGCUUCCAUGGUGCAACAUACAGCUGUCUCAGUAACCAAAAGGAACCACUUCAGUCCCUGCAAUGGCUUGUGUUACAAAAUGGUCAUUUUAAAGAAGAAAUAAUGAAAACACGGACACACAAAGAAUCGAAACGUUAUUCUCCACUUGUUGUUCUAUCUACAUCCCAACCUGAUUUGAACAUACUUAGCUUUUUAUGCCCAUGCGCAGUGGGCGACGGCGGGGGGCGAGUGAGGAAAGGAGGGGGAGACGCCCGCACACCAGCCCCACUCGCCCUGAACGCAACGAUAGACAGACGCAAAGAGCUGCUGGUGAGGAAUUGGCUGGAAAUCGCUUCAGUCGCAGAUCACAAGGGCGUGAUUCUUCAGAGAGUGAGGGGGAGGAACUUGUGUCUCCUCCUAAGAGGCAGAAAGUUCAGGAUUCGGCCUCUACCCCAAACCCACCAACAUCAACGGACAGCUCGGCUCCUUCCACUGUCCCACCUCCAACCUCAGUCGCCAGCCAAUCCCGCGAGAGUGACAAUGAAGAUGGCCAAUCCCAGGGCAGUAGAAGUUCAGUUGUAGGGAGCCUGGCCAAUAGUAGCAGCAGUCUGAGCAGUGGGCGGGAUAUAGACCAGGACAACCGCUCCUCGUCCCCAAGUCUCUCCGCUUCUCCUUUGGGUAGCUUGGACUCUGACUCCGAUGGAUCCGACUCACCAAAGCAAGGAGAGAGGGAAAGAGAGAAAGGCAAGGAGGGGGGGUUGGGGAAG